GGCCUGAUGGUCUAGGAGUAUGAUUCGUUGUUAGGGUGAGAAAUUUGCUCUGCCUUUUCGACGAGGUCCCGGGUUCAAUUCCCGGUCAGGCCC